UAUAUAUAAUUAUAUAUAUAUAUAUAUACACCCUGAUCAGACACCACUGCAGACAAGAGGUCAUCAUGGGGUCAUGAAUGCAGCCGUCGCUUUCAGUCUGUGGUAGUUUCUAUCCUAGGAAGGGGCAAUAGUCUCCGAGCAUUUAGGAGACUGAUUGCUUUGGGGUAAAAGCUGUUCUUCAGCCUAGUGGUGCGGGCAUGUAGGGCUCUAAGACGCCUACCAGAGGGUAGGGGAAUGAAAAGGCUGUGGCCGGGGUGAGUUGGAUCCCCGCAGAUAAUCUUUGCCCUGUUGCUGCAGCGAGCAGUGAAGAUGUCCUCCAGUGAUGGUAGCUGAGGACC